ensembl:lncRNA
GGACGAGACUUCAAUGCCGCUUCUUUUUGCUCUGGAAGCACCUGAAGCGUUGGCACGAAGGCUGAAGGCAUCAUGAGGGUCUCUGAGCUACACCCCACCCGCUGCGGGCACCUGCAUCCCGUAAGCCCCCUCCAAGGCAGCGCACUCACACCAUCAGGUCGGCUUUGUUGCUACCUUUCAGCCGUGCCGUUGCGGUGCUGCAGAACUCGGCAUUGCUGCCUGCAGCGCUGCCAUGGUGGUACUUGAUUCCCAGCUCAGGGCUCCUGCUCUGCAUUGCCCGAUCCACUUGGCACAGCUCUGGGGGCAGAACGGAACCCAAAGGAGGCUCUGGACGAUGGACUUUGCUACAGGGAAACCUAAUGCUACCACAGAAAGGGAAGUGAUGUUGUUACAGUGACAAUCCUGAGGAGCAGCUGCUGUUACGGAUGAGGGCAAAGGAGUGGGUACCUCUGCAUUCAGUUAUUAUUUCUGCUCUCUUACAGGAGAGGAAGCAUGGUGUAGCAAUGUGAACUGCCACACAUGGCAAAGCUCGUUUUCCCACCGAGAGCUGGUGUUUUGUGGGACCACAACCUGGUCCCACGAAAGAAGGCAACCUUUCUCCAGUCCACGUAGCAAAACCCCUUCCCACCUUUUCUCAGGCAAGGUGCAAGUAGCUGCCAAAUGUGGCAUUCCUCUGCUUUUCAGUUGAGCUGGGAUGUGGGUUUGCAGGGCAGCCUGGCUAAGUGAGCAGCAGUCACUGGGAGGAUGCUGUUGCCUGCACAGAUGGUCACGUGGGGAACUGGUUCCAUCCCAGGGAGAGCGCUGCAUGCUCUACAGGUGUGAUGCUUAAAGCUGAGACCCCGUAGAGGGAUGCCAUGGGCUGCACAGGCAGGAUGCGGCCCCAGAGGGCAGGGUUCCCUGCAGACACUGCACAAAUUGUGACAGCUCUGGAUCCAGCUGCACGGUGUGUGCUGGUUCCCCCCGCAGAGCAGGGUCAAGCCCGGACAGCCCAUCCUGUGAGCCCAGCGAGCUCAGCAAACAACACCAAUGCUGUUACAAUGCAGCAAAACCCCGCGGGACGUCAUGGCAUGCAUUAAUCACAGUAAUGUGAUGUUCUGACCAGAGGUCAUGUCAUGUUUGAAGUGUUUGAACCCAGACCCUUGGCAGGUAGAGCCGCAGUGGGGAGCAGGCUGAGCAAGCGUGGGGCCGCUCUCCCUGUGGCAAAGCUGAAAGAGUUUCCAUGUGGAUGGCUUUAAUUACUUCAUUCCAAAGAACGCACUCUCUGCUAAGAUCCCUCCAGAAGUUAAACAGGAGCGGUGAGGCAGACGCUGGCACAACAGAACCCAUGCACUGCUCAGCAUGCCGCAGAGGUGGGCAGCUGUGGCUGUUCUCUGCAAUGGGUGCCAAACUCUUGGAGUGGUUGGUAUUAUUUUUUGACUGUGUUGCAUUGCAAGGACAUGUCAGCAGCUAUAAAGACAAAGGGUGACUGAGUUUGGCCAUCAAAUAAGAACAGCAAAGAAAAUGUGUGUUUACAUGUGUGUGUUUACAGCCUGUCCCUGUGGUACAUGCCCAGCACUCCGGGGAAUCCUACACAGUGCCAUGACCCAAAUCAGCACCCAAGCCUGCCUCACUGCAAAGCAUGCCUGUAAUUUCAACUUGAUGCUGUUCUUUCAUGCAGCAGCUACUGGAAGGCUUGGGAGAUCUGAUCCUGGGAGUGAGACAGACUGAAAGCACCAGGCACUGCUGGUGCCAUGCUGCUGUGCUCAUACCUGCCCAAAAGCAAGUUAAAAUGCAAGUCUGGGAGACUUUGUCACAGAGUUUUACCACUGAACAAUACUGAAACGUGUCAAGAAUUAGACAGAACUGCGUGGGAUGCACUCUCUACUCACAGAAAUGUGUGUUUUUCUGGGCACAGAGGAGGUGCUGAGCACCAUCAAUGAACUGACUAUAACGCUAGAAGCAAAUAUUAUGUGACGGAUUUCAUUUGCCAGCAGGGUGGCAAAAUGUCUGUCCAAAGAAGUGCAAACAACGCCCGCCGACCCGCUGAAAUCAGCUGGUGCCAUGCAGCUGCAGGUGGUCACACCUUUGUUUUUCUACAGAAAGUGAAUAUGUAGUUGGAGUUUCCUUAUCUAAGUAGGAAUACCAUCACCUUUGAUCAGGGUUUGUGAGCGAGGGAUAAAGAAGAAGCAGUCUGAUGCACCCACUUGCUAUGGAACUCGGGUCAUUCUGCAGAGGCAAGACGUAUGGGAAACUGUUUUUUUUUUCCUUUGGACAGCUGGUCUCUCCUCUUGACCCCAUUAUGGUGCCCGUGUGGAACUGCCACCCUCUCACCCAGACCUUGGGGCUGCCCAUCACAUCCCACCUGGCUGGGCACCUCCGUGACACCUCCAGUCUGCCCACAGCGAAAGGGUUCAGACACAUGGUUCCUGUCUGUUUUGCACUAACCACCUGCCAGCAAGGUUCGGUGUUACUCAUGAAGGCCAUCCACCCCUGUACACAAUUCUGCCUUCAGCACCGCAUACACACACACUCUGGUCACGCUCUGCAGACCCAGCCCAGAGCUUCUCCGAACAUCAUCACAAAUCACCCUCUGGGAUAUGGUUGCUUACAACAAAUUUAUUUCAACGGAAUUGAAAAACCCUCUUGUUCUGGAGCACAAUUAAUGAAGAGUUGAGGCUGUGUUCAUCUUCUAGUUCCCCACAUCUUUCAUCCCCACCCUGCCCACAUAAUACCUCUGCCUACCUCUGACACUGACGGCAGUGCUAGGCUGCAGAAUAACAGUCCUUUCAACUGAAGAAAAACAAGAGAGAGACACUCAGACAAUAAUUUUAGAAGUGCAUUGUUUCCUGUAGAGCCUCAGUCCUUUCACUCCCAGAACUUGGGCUGACCUGCAUUAGGCACAGACUGCUAUAAAAACGGCCCUCCCUGCGGGUUUGCUGCCCCGUCAUCAUCUCCUUGGGCUCAUCGAGGCGGCACACAGCAGUGCGUGCGUGGCACAGAGCGUGUCACUGGCGCAGCAACCGGUGGGUGAAUCAUAAUGAAACUAUGAAGAGGAAACAUGUCACAAAGGAAAGCUCGCUUUUCAGUGGAGUGCUUCAUCUACAGAAGAGUGCUCAAGUUAAGGAUGCCGAUGAGAGAAUUAACUUGUGCCCUGGUCACUUAAUGCAGCGUUUUAUGCAGUUAUUUACCGGUUCUGUUGCUAUGGGAAAUGUGAAUACUUGCCAUGACAACUGCAGCAGAUCGUGGCACACAACCCACUUCAGCACUGCGUCUUCAUAAGGAAACGCUCCCAUUCAUACGUCCUACAAAUUCUGUGUCCUUGACAGCAGCUCAGCGUGGGGUUUUUAGGCGCAGCCAUUGCUUUUCUGUGUUUUACAGUGGGGUAUUGCCUUGUGUCUAAAAUUGGUUAUUACCUAUUUCUUAGGUAGCUCUUCAAUAUUAGACCUUAAAGCACUUUGCAAAGGUAAACCUUAAAAAAAAUAUAUUAAAAUUAAAAUUAAAAAAAAAAUACAAGAAAAACCCUCUGCUUAAUUUACAGAUGAGAAAAUCAG